GAUGAAGAACGUAGCGAAAUGCGAUAAGUAAUGUGAAUUGCAGAAUUCAGUGAAUCAUCGAAUCUUUGAACGCACAUUGCGCCCAUUAGUAUUCUAGUGGGCAUGCCUGUUCGAGCGUCAUUUCAACCCUUAAGCCUAGCUUAGUGUUGGGAAUCUGCUGUAUUGCAGUUCCUCAAAUACAACGGCGGAUCUGUAACAUCCUCUGAGCGUAGUAAAUUUUUAUCUCACUUUUGUUAGGUGUUGCAGCUCUCAGCCGCUAAACCCCCCAAUUUUUGUGGUUGACCUCGGAUCAGGUAGGAAUACCCGCUGAACUUAAGCAUAUCAAUAAGCGGAGGA
rnacentral:misc_RNA from 1 species